GAUGAUGCGGGCCGUGCCCGAACUGUCAAUCAUGCCGAGUAGGCAUGGUUAAGGACAAAGGGUGGUGAGAUGAGGGAAAAUAAAGGGGUCUCAGUUUACCUUAGUUCAUCCUAAGGUCCACACAACUUAUUAAUGUCCUUUUUAAGACCUGAAAAAAUAAAUCCUGUUAACUUCAAUGGGUACCAAAAUCAGCUGCAAAAAACAUGCAGCAGAUCCUGCACGUGUGAACAUAUCCUAACUGUAACCAUAUUAUAGAGCUGAGAAAAGACAAUGGGAGUUGAAGAACACAGCAUCCAUUCCAUUCUUGCUAGAAGGAAAAGCCAAACAUGAGCUGUAUUGUUUCAAUAGAAAAUCGAUGAAGCAUCAUACAUGAGAGGAUAACAAGGUAACAAGUGAGAAGCUCAGUGUCCCGAACUGUCGAUGUAUCCCUCCAGUAUCCAGACUGACAGGCCAGAAAGACGCUGUGCAAUGAAUAUUGUACAAAGAGCAACAAUAGUUUCCUACAGCAUAUUAGAACUGCAUUG